UCCUCCCUCUGUCGGCGUGCUUAACACACGCAAGUCGAACGGAAAGGCCCUGCUUUUGUGGGGUGCUCGAGUGGCGAACGGGUGAGUAACACGUGAGUAACCUGCCCUUGACUUUGGGAUAACUUCAGGAAACUGGGGCUAAUACCGGAUAGGAGCUCCUGCUGCAUGGUGGGGGUUGGAAAGUUUCGGCGGUUGGGGAUGGACUCGCGGCUUAUCAGCUUGUUGGUGGGGUAGUGGCUUACCAAGGCUUUGACGGGUAGCCGGCCUGAGAGGGUGACCGGCCACAUUGGGACUGAGAUACGGCCCAGACUCCUACGGGAGGCAGCAGUGGGGAAUAUUGCACAAUGGGCGGAAGCCUGAUGCAGCAACGCCGCGUGCGGGAUGACGGCCUUCGGGUUGUAAACCGCUUUCGCCUGUGACGAAGCGUGAGUGACGGUAAUGGGUAAAGAAGCACCGGCUAACUACGU
rnacentral:rRNA from 1 species